rnacentral:rRNA from 1 species
GACGAACGCUGGCGGCGUGCUUAACACAUGCAAGUCGAACGGAAAGGCCCUGCAUUUGUGGGGUGCUCGAGUGGCGAACGGGUGAGUAACAAGUGAGUAACCUGCCCUUGACUUUGGGAUAACUUCAGGAAACUGGGGCUAAUAACGGAUAGGAGCUCCUGCUGCAUGGUGGGGGUUGGAAAGUUUCGGCGGUUGGGGAUGGACUCGCGGCUUAUCAGCUUGUUGGUGGGGUAGUGGCUUACCAAGGCUUUGACGGGUAGCCGGCCUGAGAGGGUGACCGGCCACAUUGGGACUGAGAUACGGCCCAGACUCCUACGGGAGGCAGCAGUGGGGAAUAUUGCACAAUGGGCGGAAGCCUGAUGCAGCAACGCCGCGUGCGGGAUGACGGCCUUCGGGUUGUAAACCGCUUUCGCCUGUGACGAAGCGUGAGUGACGGUAAUGGGUAAAGAAGCACCGGCUAACUACGUG